rnacentral:rRNA from 1 species
UACAGAGGUGGCAAGCGUUGUUCGGAAUUACUGGGCGUAAAGGGCGCGUAGGCGGUCCGAUAAGUCCUGUGUGAAAUCCCUCGGCUCAACUGAGGAACUGCACGGGAGACUGCCGGGCUUGAGUUCGGGAGAGGGAAGCGGAAUUCCGGGUGUAGCGGUGAAAUGCGUAGAUAUCCGGAGGAACACCGAUGGCGAAGGCAAUCCCCUGGGCCUGCACUGACGCUCAUGCACGAAAGCGUGGGGAGCAAACAGG